rnacentral:rRNA from 1 species
ACAAGGGAUGGAUAUAUUGACGGUUACACGCACGCUAGAACCUUACCAGGUCUUGACAUCCUCUGACAAUCCUAGAGAUAGGACGUCCCCUUCGGGGGCAGAGUGACAGGUGGUGCAUGGUUGUCGUCAGCUCGUGUCGUGAGAUGUUGGGUUAAGUCCCGCAACGAGCGCAACCCUUGAUCUUAGUUGCCAGCAUUCAGUUGGGCACUCUAAGGUGACUGCCGGUGACAAACCGGAGGAAGGUGGGGAUGACGUCAAAUCAUCAUGCCCCUUAUGACCUGGGCUACACACGUGCUACAAUGGACAGAACAAAGGGCAGCGAAACCGCGAGGUUAAGCCAAUCCCACAAAUCUGUUCUCAGUUCGGAUCGCAGUCUGCAACUCGACUGCGUGAAGCUGGAAUCGCUAGUAAUCGCGGAUCAGCAUGCCGCGGUGAAUACGUUCCCGGGCCUUGUACACACCGCCCGUACACCUCAAAUUAUUUGACGGUACCCACAGCGCGUACCGUCAAUGAUUUGACGUACCACCAGAGUUUACACGCAAAUAAUUGGAUU